UACAAGUGUGCACAACUUUCC
rnacentral:piRNA from 1 species